UUAGUAGUUUAUAUUAAGAAUGUUGGUUUGUGGAACUUUUGGUACGUUUUGUUUAAUACA
rnacentral:tRNA from 1 species